rnacentral:ncRNA from 1 species
CUAGCGGUCACCGCAAGGUUCCUGUCGGACGACAGGCUAUCUUCUGCGGUCCCGCACUGCGGGCCGCAACCGGCAAUGCCGGCUUUUACUAACGGGCCGAUGAUGGCAUCGGU